rnacentral:rRNA from 1 species
ACACGUGAGUAACCUGCCCUUGACUCUGGGAUAAGCCUGGGAAACUGGGUCUAAUACCGGAUAUGACCUUCCAUCGCAUGGUGGUUGGUGGAAAGCUUUUGUGGUUUUGGAUGGACUCGCGGCCUAUCAGCUUGUUGGUGGGGUAAUGGCCUACCAAGGCGACGACGGGUAGCCGGCCUGAGAGGGUGACCGGCCACACUGGGACUGAGACACGGCCCAGACUCCUACGGGAGGCAGCAGUGGGGAAUAUUGCACAAUGGGCGCAAGCCUGAUGCAGCGACGCCGCGUGAGGGAUGACGGCCUUCGGGUUGUAAACCUCUUUCAGUAGGGAAGAAGCGAAAGUGACGGUACCUGCAGAAGAAGCGCCGGCUAACUACGUGCCAGCAGCCGCGGUAAUACGUAGGGCGCAAGCGUUAUCCGGAAUUAUUGGGCGUAAAGAGCUCGUAGGCGGUUUGUCGCGUCUGCCGUGAAAGUCCGGGGCUCAACUCCGGAUCUGCGGUGGGUACGGGCAGACUAGAGUGAUGUAGGGGAGACUGGAAUUCCUGGUGUAGCGGUGAAAUGCGCAGAUAUCAGGAGGAACACCGAUGGCGAAGGCAGGUCUCUGGGCAUUAACUGACGCUGAGGAGCGAAAGCAUGGGGAGCGAACAGGAUUAGAUACCCUGGUAGUCCAUGCCGUAAACGUUGGGCACUAGGUGUGGGGGACAUUCCACGUUUUCCGCGCCGUAGCUAACGCAUUAAGUGCCCCGCCUGGGGAGUACGGCCGCAAGGCUAAAACUCAAAGGAAUUGACGGGGGCCCGCACAAGCGGCGGAGCAUGCGGAUUAAUUCGAUGCAACGCGAAGAACCUUACCAAGGCUUGACAUGGACCGGACCGCCGCAGAAAUGUGGUUUCCCCUUUGGGGCCGGUUUACAGGUGGUGCAUGGUUGUCGUCAGCUCGUGUCGUGAGAUGUUGGGUUAAGUCCCGCAACGAGCGCAACCCUCGUUCUAUGUUGCCAGCGGUUCGGCCGGGGACUCAUAGGAGACUGCCGGGGUCAACUCGGAGGAAGGUGGGGACGACGUCAAAUCAUCAUGCCCCUUAUGUCUUGGGCUUCACGCAUGCUACAAUGGCCGGUACAAAGGGUUGCGAUACUGUGAGGUGGAGCUAAUCCCAAAAAGCCGGUCUCAGUUCGGAUUGGGGUCUGCAACUCGACCCCAUGAAGUCGGAGUCGCUAGUAAUCGCAGAUCAGCAACGCUGCGGUGAAUACGUUCCCGGGCCUUGUACACACCGCCCGUCAAGUCACGAAAGUUGGUAACACCCGAAGCCGGUGGCCUAACCCC